GCGCGUCAUUGUGUAAAAUGCAGAUCACACNAACAUCNACAUGUCGAACGCACAUUGCUGGCCCGAAACCCUGGCGUUUCGGGUCACGUACAUCCGAGGGUCG
rnacentral:rRNA from 1 species